rnacentral:lncRNA from 1 species
UAUGUACCCCUUUUUCAAAAAAUAUACACUAAAUAGGUACAGUCAAUUGAGAGCUAUUCAAUCAACCAUAAUGUAAACGUAGUUGAACAAGUAGAGAAACAUCAAAGGCAAAUCUAUAUUAAACAUAGUAGAAAAUUAUCCUCCAAUAGAUUCCAUCAAACCCUAGAUUAGAAAGUUUAGCUACUCAUAAAUGUAUCAACAAUCAUCAUGAUGUUCAAAGACAUUAAACUACAAAGUAAGGAGAUAAACGGAGGAAACACUCGUUUGAUUCUCGCACCACGGUGCUCUGUAGCCUUUUUCUUCUCCAAAAUAGUGUCCAACAGUUUCUCAACUCGUUAAGGGAGUAUUUUUAUUUUAGGGCCGGAAUCCCUUAGUCAAAAUUCGGGUUAGAAUCUUUUAACCCGCAACUUUUAAUUACUGGGUUAUAAACCUCGCGAGGCAAGGCUUAUAGCGCGGUCAGCCUGGCUACAGAGCUGGCUUGUAGCGCGGUCAAGCUAGCUAUAGAGCUGGCUUUACUUGGUCUGUAGCAUGGUAAAGCAGGCUAUAGAGCUGGCUGUAUUUGGUAUGUAGCACGAUUUGGGUACUUGAUGCUUUUGUGCUCUUUUCUUGCAUUUUUGUCCUCUUUUUGUGCAACUUUCAUCUGACUCUUUCUUCUGGUGCUCCUACACAUAAAACAACACAAUUUAGCUCAAAUGUCACACAAUUAAUCACUAAACAAACAAAAUAUAGGGCGAGUAAUGUAUUAAAAGUAUAGCAUUUUGGCCGAACAUAAAUAAUAAAGUAAUAAUUUCUUAAUUUGUUUUUUAUUUAAUCAUUUUUUAAAAUCAAAUUCAUUGUUUUCACUCGCUUUAUACGCGUAUAUUUCACACAUCUCGUCCAACUCAGCAGAUUUAAUGCCACAUAAGCUUGGCCAAUGGUAAGAAGCGUUAAAAAUAUUAGUUUUGGUCGAGUUGAGGUGUUUGCAUGAAACUUUGUGGAGUAUAGGGGUCGGGAUGUAAAAUCGAAAUAAGUGCGGGGGUCUCCUAAGCUAUUCUGCCUAUUAGUUAGCGUAAUUCUUAGAUUUAGUCACUCCGAAAGCUAAUUUAAGGUAUAUUUAGUCUCAUUCUUAGAUAUCUAUCAUAACAUCUAUUUUAAUUUCUUGUGGUUAGACGUGGAUUCUUAGUUGGAUUAUUAUUGCAACGACUGUUUUGCUUUUCCUUUAGAGGUGCAUGGGUGGUUUAUUUAAAAAUAAAUUUGCUCAAGAGUAAUAAUUCAAAACAUAAUUAAAAACCAUACUUCGAAAUGAAAAACUUGACCAGUAAGCUAUUGCACCAUGGACAACUGCCCUCUUUGGUUUGGUGAUCGGCCAUUAUAAUUAUUUCUUCGUUUAUUACUUCGAUUUGAUGCAACGCGGUCUGUAGAUGGUUUAUUGCUCCUAGGCAAACGUGAAGGAUCGUUGAAUAUCUUUCCUUCAUUUCGGAUAGAUACAGAUGGACAGUUCUCCUUCCUAUUUUGACGUCGCAAAUUGCCUACCCCAGCCAUAAUUGAAACGCGACCCUGUGUUGUUGAAUUAUUGGAAUCCAUCUUUCAGAUCUCUGUGAUUAUUACUUUUACAGCCAAAAACUAGCAGAAAAAUUUGAGGACCGAAAGCAGAAAAUAGGAAAAACCAAACCCAAACUAAUUACCUUCUUAGUAUGAGUAGUCAACAAAAUUACACACAGAAAGGACUUGAGGCUUGCAUUUAUAGUGUCAGAUCUGGCUUUACGAAACAACGAAAGACUUGACCGAAAACAAAAGGGGAAAAAAAGGACGAGAUACGGAAUAAGGAGUGCGAAAAAUUUCCGCCAUCCUUGUUUGAAGUCCGAGUUAUUCCCUUAAAAAAAA